AUCAAUGAUUUUAGAAGGUGGAGGGGUGUGGGACAAAUUACUUAAUUACUUAGGGUAAUUAAAGCUGUAAGAGUAAAGGUGGGGGAAAAAAACAUAAACCAACCAAUUGUUUCACUCUCUUCACCUGGCCUUAGUUUAAAUCAGAACACUAUUUCCCCUGCAUUACUCCAAACAAUUUACCAAAAAAAAGGAAAAGAAAAAAGGUAUUAAGUAACUAGAGGACAUACAGCAAAAAAUGCAAUGUUAUCAUUCAGCAAUUAUGAUGCUCUUGUUUAUUUUUCAAAUAGUUCAGAAUUGCACAGGUUCACAAAGUGUUCUCUGUGCAGCAAAAGCGCUUUGUUUAAUGCAAUACUGAUUGGCCCAGCAGCAUCCACCCGCCACCUUAGAUCUUUCUUUCCUAACCCUACGUGGUCCUCCAUAGAAAUAUUCCUUCAGCAAUGAACACCCAGGAAAACAAUCUCUGUGAAACAGCAUGUGAAAGAGUCCAAUAUCUUUACCUUCUGCAGAAAAAGGCAGAAAGCAUUUCUUUAAGGGUACCCAUCCAAAACCUGAGUGCUUUUAAUACCCUACAGCUGGUAUUUGUUUUUAGGAAGGAUGAGAGUUAAAAGCAGCACAAAGAGUAAUGCGUCAGGGGCUAGAAUUUUUUCCAAAGUUAGGACCUUUAGAUAUAAACGCCUUAAAUGAGGAAAGGCCUCAGCAAUGAGGAAAUCAUAUUGCAAACAGGGAAGUGAGAAAGGUAAGAAGUGACCUGCCCACAGCCUCCUAGAAGGAAUGGUUUUCUCGCCCUUCUUGAGGGCUCUUUCCACAACCUCACUUUUUUACUUUGCCCUCUCCUUCUACCCCUUGAUUUUCCCGACACAUGCUCAAAGACUCACGUAAAAUAGUCCCCAAGUCAAAAUAACUAGGGCUUGUCAAGGAAGGCAAAGGGUGAGAUAUAGAUUCCAAUUAACUGCCUCUGAUUGCUGGAUAACUCAGGUCUUCCAGAAACUGACUCCAGCAGCAUGUGUUAUUUAUUUAUACCCAACCCUUGUUCUAAAAAUAACUUGAUGUGUUUUGCAGAAAUACAUAAACCACAAGCAGCUAAAAAUACAUACAAUGUGGAAAUUAUCACAAAGAGGGGAAAAGGAUGGAGAAAUCUCGCCUAUUAAAAAGCACUGGUGGUAGGACAAGGAAGUAUCAAUAUUCCAAAAAGAAUGUCCUACAGAAACUGCCUCAUACCAAGAAACCAACUUAUAAAACUGGUGGCUCAAUAGCAAAUAUUAUAAGCAAUGAAACAAUACUGAUGCAUCAGAAAUAAGUUGUGGCUUCAAAUGAAAUGUUAGUAAGAGGGAUGAGGCACAAAUUUUCCCUUUAAUAUGUUAAUGUGCAGGUUUUAGAUUUCUGAAGCAAGUUGUUCCUAAGCUGUGCAAGGUUAGGAAACAAAAAGGAAAAAAUGGAAGAGGAAAGUAGAGAGACUUACAGAGUAGGGGGGAGGCAGAGGGAACCAUGACAGGUUGAUGUCAACCUCAGCAUCAUUUGUUAAAGAACCAAAAAUAAAUUAUCACAUAAUUGGAGGCUCAAAUUCAUACAUCACCUGAACUCAACUGCACUUUUGUUAUGUUAUAAUGCAAUUUAGUAUAAAUCAAUUGGCUCAGAAUUCAAAAUUAGAGCCCAAUUACCUGUGUAAGGGAAUCAUAAAUCCAACCUGUAUUUUUCUAACAGGGUUAACAACUCAUGAUGUCCGCUUAAACUCAGGAAAAUCAAUUUUCUAAGCUUAAGAACAAUUGCGCAUUGGUAGUUUUUUGUUUGUUUGUUUUUUUUUUUUUUUUUGUUUUUUUUUUUAACCCUGAUCUAGUGCAUGAGGUGGAAAGGCUGGGGGUGUGGUGGAUGUAAUGAUUGAGGAAGGGUAGAAGCCUAAAGCAAAACAAAUUCAGAGCACUGAACAUGCUCAAAACACCAACCACACACAGAGGAAGCCAGAGUGGGAACACUUACCUGUAAUAGGCAGUCAAAACCUGGACACCUGCUAUUUAGUAAAGGAGUAAAGGCAAAACACUCCUACUGCUUUUCUUGUUCAGCAAAAAAUUUCCCUGGAGCUAAAGAGUAAGAUGGAAUGCUAAGUAAGGGGAGAGCUUGAACUCCUGCUACCAGCACACAAGAACCGGGCCUGCUUGACAGAGGUCACACCUGCGUGAAGCCCAGAGACACUCCCCCCCCCACCCCCCGCAAGGCAAUUUGCUGGCCUUAUCUUCAACUGGAAACACCUGAGGGAACGAGGAGUCGCAAGAGGGGUGGAGGAAUAAAGCUGGCCCAUUGGCGGCACAAGAAUUGUCAGGAACAGCCUUCAUACAGGACAGUUUAGCACUGCAUGUUUUUAUGCAUGUCUUAUACAGAGCCACACACAGAUACUACACAUAUGUUAUACAUUUUGACACAGAAAUUCUAUUUCCAUGAAAUUCUGCUAGAAAAACAAGUGAACAAGGGUGUAAAGUCAUACAUACAAGAUUCUUCAUUACAGCAUUGCGUCUUAGAGCCAGAGCUGGAAGCAGACUAAAGUCAAUCAAAAGAGAUAGUUAAUUAAAUUAUGAUGCAUUUCACCCUACAGAGUCAUACUAUGCUGGAAAUCUAGAUGAUGACGUAAAAUUCUAUGGACAUGGCACAUUGUAAGAUAAAAUAACAAAAGAGUGUUAUUGGAUAUAUCGAUUUCAAGUGUGUACGUGUGCGUGUGUGUGUGCAUGUGCACAUAAAUAUGUGUACAUGGGUGAAGAAGAAAGUCUGGGAGAAAAUACCCCACAUAUUAAUCAAGAUUAUGCUGUGUGGUAGGAUGAUAAAUGAUAUUUACUUAAAAAAUCUUUUCCUAUGGUGUUGGCUUUUUGAGUUUUAAUUGCAUAAAAUAGGCAGGCAUUUCCUUUUAUAAUCAGAACAAAAAUACUACAGCAAUUUCUACUUUGGAUCUUUUUUUAAAGUCAGGAGAAUAGGAGGGAGGAGAAAAGUCAGAAGCCCACCAGGCCCGGGAGGCUUCCUCCGAACAAAGCACAAGCACCAGCACCUGACGCAAAAGGGUUUCUGUUUUACACAACAUUCCAUGGACUGUACAUUUUAUUGGGGAGGGGAAACAAAUGCAACAAAACGAAUCAUCUGUAUGCCUUACCUUUAUAUUCUGUGGGUAAAAAAUCUUAGUCCACAGCUUCUGAGAGCAAAUGAUGCCCCUUCCAGACCCAAAAUACAGCUAGAAAUCUUGGCAACUGUGCCUUCUAUACCAGGCUGAGCGGUGCCUGUUUUCUCUGCUUCCAAAUGGGCGUGUGAAACUGUAACUUUACAAAGCCAAGGUGCUCUUUUCAAAGCACAGAAAAUACUAAAGAAACAUACCAUUAGAACACAUGCUUCUUACUGAGUCAUUUCUGUAUCUUAGUUUUGACUGCUCUAUGCUGGGGUAAGAUAUCUGCAAAAUCAGAGAAAAAAGAACUAGAAAAACCUUUGAGAUUAUUCCCUUCAAUGUCCUCAUUUUUCACAGAGAAAACUCAGAGCAGUCACCGAGUGAGCCAGCCAGGCCUAAGGCCGAAGGUCUGCCUCCCAGUCCACUGUUUAUCUCUUCAUCUCAAAUGCCUUUCAAAGAAGCGGCUGCGUUUCCCCUUUCCAGAGAAUCUGAAUAUUUCUUUAUCCAAUGUUGAUAUAAAUCAGACUUUGUGAGACAGAGACACAGAGAGCAAAAAGCAGCAAAUCUAACAUAAUACACCAGCAAGCUUUUCCAGAUGCAUCUGAGAGAAACUUUCAAUAAUGGAAAACACUUCAUACACUGUUUUAUACAGUCCACUCCUGAUGCUGUGAUAGAAAAAAGUAAAAAGGUCAGGGGGAAAAGCCAUAGGAGUCAUUUGGUGACAUUUUUAAAAGGUUUACUUUCAGAAGCAUAUAAUUUAAAGUGUCUUUCCCUUUUUUCUGCUGAAAACCAAGCAUACUCACUAUAAAACACCUAGAAAAUACAACAAAAUAUUAAUAAGCAAGAAAAGAGAACAUAACAUAUAAAUCCAUUAACGAAAGACAACCAUGGCUAAAAUUUUAGUACAAUUCCUUCUAGUUUCUUUUCCUUUUUGAAUGGUUGAGAUCUUAAUACAUAUACCAUUUGCAGAUUUUCUUUUCACCUAAAUUAUACCUAAGCAUUUUAAUAAUUCAUUAACAACUAUUUAUCAAUAUCAUUUUAAUGUCUGAACAAGUAAUCCAUGGUAUAAAUAUGCAAAUUUUAUACCUUUUUCUUUAAAUAUGUCAUUUAAGGGGUUUCUAGUAUACAUAAUCCUAUAAUGAACAUUUUGAAAAAUGAACCUUGAUCUUAACCUCAUUAUUUUUUAAUUUUAAUUCCUAACAAGAGGAAUCACUAGGUUAAAUAUUAUAAACAUUUUGUAGUACCUGAAAGUUGAUACCAAAUUUUGUUGUUCCUACCAAAGGUAUAGAAAAGUCCCCAUCUUAUAGUGCUUUUUAUCAAUAAUUAUCAUAUUUCAAAAUCUUUGUGUUAAUUUUAUAGGUGACAUGAAUACCAAUUUUAAUUUGGAACUCCCUGUCAUUGAACAAUAUCAAAA
ensembl:lncRNA